UGCCGUAGUUCUCGACCAUAUUGGAGA
rnacentral:piRNA from 1 species